UGCAGGAGGGCACUUCUGCUGUCCACUGGGUACCGUUCCCCUUCCAUAUGCAGGUGAUGAUGCCUGGCCCCUCCAGCUGGUGCUCGGCUGCGCACUGGAAGGCGAUGACCGUCCCGACGGCUGUGCCAUUGCCAUGAAUGAUCUGCAGGGUGCCCAGCUGGGGAGGGUGUACGUGGCUGCACUGCCCUGUGUACCCGCGGGGACCGCCGCCGUCCCGCCCGGGCGCAGCGGUGCGCGGCUCGUCCGGCCCCGGCGCAGUGGCUGCCGGCAUGGCUCCUCCGAGCCGCUCCGCUCCGAGCCCAGCCCCGUCGCGCAGCCCGGCAGGUGCAGCCCGCACCGCCUCCGCCCGCCCUCCGCCGCCGGGC
rnacentral:lncRNA from 1 species